AGGAGAGCAGCGUUUAUCUUAUGAGGUGUAGACAGAAGAGAACAAAGAUUGGUAUGGACAUAGUACCAAGUAUCUGAGGGACCGAAAUGGAUUCUGCCCUCCUCUGGGUUUUGAAUUUGUUAAAUUAAAAAAAAAAAAAAAAAAAAAAAAAAAGGAAAACAAAGCUUUUAUUAAAUCCAGUUCUGUGUGUGUGACUUAAAGUAUUCUUGACAGGUUUCUAAAAAGACAUGUGAAUAUAGUCAGUGGUUUCUCUUUAAAGUCUAGUAUUUCUCCUUCCAUUGAAUUGCUUAUAAAUUCUAUUAGAAGGAUUGGGGGGUAAAAGGAGUUCUUUUACUCUUAAAAGCAGAAAAUCUCCAUAUGUUUAAAUAAGUAAAUCAAGUUUAUUUUCAGCAGUGCAAUACCAUACCUACAAUUUUUACCCUAAUAAUUUGAAGCUUGGGUUUCCAGAAUUCUGAUCGUCAGGGCUAUGUCUGGCUUUACCUAUAAGCCAUAUUAUCACACCAACUAAAAUUAUGUGAAAUUCCCGUGGAGUAAGAUUCUGAAGAUUAUUUUUCUCUGGGUUAGAUUACUUAUUGCUGGUAAGAGACCUAUCGUUAUUAGGUAUUAUCAAAAGAACCAGUGGUAUAUGGAGCCAGCUCAUCCUGACCAUGAAGGUUAAUUGUGCGCAUCUCUGUCCAGCUCUGUGAUCAGUAAUGUCGGGUUGGUACCUUGAAGCUGGCAUGGUGGGAGUGGGAAAUCAGCAAAUGCUACAAAAUCCUCCCCCCUCUAGGAACCUUGAUGUUAAAUAUUACCAGCAAGCCACUAGAUAUUAUUCAAAUUACAUUCUAUCAUCACAACUUAAGGAUGGUGCCGUUGAUACCAGGAGCUCUCUAUAUAUCCGGUACAUGUUUGGCAGUGAUUUGCACUUAAAAUUUUUUUGUAAUAAAUUCUUUUGUCUUCGUUUUUUUCUUUUCAGGGCCAUACCCACAGCAUUUGGAACCCUAGCCUGGAAACCUCCAUAUGCUGAGAGUGUGGCCCUAAAAAGAAAAAAAAAAAAAAAAAAAAAAAAAAAAAAAAAAAAAAAAAAAAAAAAAUACAAAGAAUAAUAAUUUAAGAUAAUAAUAUCAUAUAAUAAUAAUAUUCUGGUUUCCAAAGUAUUAGCUAGUUGAUCAUUUUGAGUAAGUCUUAAAUGUUUCCAGUUAAUUUGAAGGAUUAUAAAAAUAUUUUUUGCCCUGCAAUUAUAUUACUUUCUCACUUGCGAUAGAUUUCAUUCAUUCACUCAACAAAUAUUUAUUAGAAACUACCGUAUUCCAGGACUGUGCUCCUGGGUAAAUAUUAAUAUGAUAGUCAACAAAGCAGACCCUUCCUCUGCUCUCAUGGUAGAUUGAAAGGACCCUGUGAAAUGAGGGUACAAAUAUGUUUUUGAUUGCACACGUUGAGAUGAGAAUCAUAAGGGCAAAGGACACUGUGCUGUGAAACUGUGGAAGAAAGGAACGCCUUGGGGAGUGAAGGCAGGCUUUUCGGAGGAAAUCGUGUUUGAGCUGAGAGCAAGGUGUUGGCUGGGUGAUAAGGAGGGAGGACAUUCCAGAAGAACCAGCAUGUACAAAUACCCUGAGUGAAGAAACUGCUUGUAUAAAGAAAGUAACAGCAAUACAUUACAACCCAAUUUACUGUCAAUAUUUAGAGCCCAGUAAAUCUCAUGUCUUUGAGUAAAUUGUUAAUCACUGAGAAGCACGUAGCUUUUAGGCCACCUAUGUGGCCCCAGAGACUAAAGAUCUGUGCCACCUUUUCCUUCUUAGGGGAGACCAGUGAAAGAAAAUCUUUCAAAACUGUUUAUUUUAGUUAGGAGCAAAGACACUCCUCUGCAUUAGAGGAUAUUUAAAUUACGCAAUCCCCUGGAUACUUUAAGCAUCAACUUACUAUUAAGGGGGAAAAGGAUCAAAAUUAUUGACUCAAAAUUCCCCUGGUGUUCAUUCCGCUUCUAUAUUCCUUGGCCUGUGAAAAUAGCCCAAGGGCUAUGCCCUCUUAUCUCUCUCCAUCUCAAUUCCUCUCUCUUUGGGGUUGGAAAUAAGCUUACAGCUUGACAUGCCUACAGAAUAAAAGGUCUU
rnacentral:lncRNA from 1 species